rnacentral:misc_RNA from 1 species
GAAAUGCGAUAAGUAAUGUGAAUUGCAGAAUUCAGUGAAUCAUCGAAUCUUUGAACGCACAUUGCGCCCGCUGGUAUUCCGGCGGGCACGCCUGUCCGAGCGUCAUUGCAAUAAUCACGCUCCGCGUGGUGUUGGGGGCCGUCGCGCAAGCGACCCCUCCGGAACCCGUUGGCGGUGGCCCUUCGCCCCGAUCGUCGCGCACGUUACGACGGUGUGGGGGACUGUCCGCCCAAUCGCAACCUUACGCCAAGUUUGACCUCGGAUCAGGCGGGGAUACCCGCUGAACUUAAGC